rnacentral:rRNA from 1 species
GAACGGGCCAACGAGUUACGUUAAGUAGCAAGGUUAAGCACUUAAGGUGUGGAGCCGUAGCGAAAGCGAGUUUUAACUGAGCGUUCAGUGACUUGACGUAGACCCGAAACCGGGCGACCUACCCAUGAGCAGGAUGAAGCGAAAGUAAAAUUUCGUGGAGGUCCGAACCCACGAGCGUUGAAAAGCUCGGGGAUGACUUGUGGGUAGCGGUGAAAUUCCAGUCGAGCCCGGAGAUAGCUGGUUCUCCCCGAAAUAGCUUUAGGGCUAGCCUCAAGGUGAGAGAUACGGAGGUAGAGCACUGAAUGUCCUAGGGGGUAUUGCACCUACCGAAGACUAUCAAACUCCGAAUGCCGUCAUCUUAUACUUGGGAGUCAGACUGUGGGUGAUAAGAUUCAUAGUCGAAAGGGCAACAGCCCAGAUCGUCAGCUAAGGUCCCUAAAUGUAAGUUAAGUGGUAAAGGAUGUGGGAUUGCACAGACAACCAGGAUGUUGGCUUAG